GAAUGGAUAAUAUUUCAGUAAUUGCCAUUAGUUCCAUCUAAACGUGCAAACUGGCCGGACGUUAACUAACUUCGAAAAUAAAAGAAAAUGUUAGCUAAAAUAUUUCUACUUCAAGUGAUUUUUAUCAUAAAUUGCAUUUUGCCAAACCGUGCUUUAGGUUCUUCUGGGAGUGUUUGUUUCAAUUUAGAGGACACCGAAAUCGUAAAGCAACUUGUCAAUGAUGUCAGUGAAAUAAAGGACACAAUGGAUAAUCUAAAUGUGAGCAAACAAGUGAAGAAUAAAGGCA